GUGCCCUAAUCGGGUACGGGGACCGUGUCAGGCGGGCAGUUUGACUGGGGCGGUCGCCUCCUAAAGAGUAACGGAGGCGUUCCAAGGUUCCCUCAGAAUGGUUGGAAAUCAUUCGAAGAGUGCAAAGGCAGAAGGGAGCUUGACUGCGAGACCUACAAGUCGAGCAGGGACGAAAGUCGGACUUAGUGAUCCGGUGGUACCGCAUGGAAGGGCCAUCGCUCAACGGAUAAAAGCUACCCUGGGGAUAACAGGCUUAUCUCCCCCAAGAGUCCACAUCGACGGGGAGGUUUGGCACCUCGAUGUCGGCUCAUCGCAUCCUGGGGCUGAAGUAGGUCCCAAGGGUUGGGCUGUUCGCCCAUUAAAGCGGUACGCGAGCUGGGUUCAGAACGUCGUGAGACAGUUCGGUCCCUAUCUGUCGUGGGCGUAGGAAAUUUGAGAGGAGCUGUCCUUAGUACGAGAGGACCGGGAUGGACGUACCGCUGGUGCACCAGUUGUUCCGCCAGGAGCAUGGCUGGGUAGCUACGUACGGACGGGAUAAGCGCUGAAAGCAUCUAAGCGUGAAGCCCCCCUCAAGAUGAGAUUUCCCAAUUAGUAAGACCCCUUGAAGACGACGAGGUAGAUAGGUUGGAGGUGGAAGUGCAGUAAUGCAUGGAGCUGACCAAUACUAAUCGGUCGAGGGCUUAUCCUAU
rnacentral:rRNA from 1 species